CACAUGCAAGUCGAACGGAAAGGCCCUUCGGGGUACUCGAGUGGCGAACGGGUGAGUAACACGUGGGUGAUCUGCCCUGCACUCUGGGAUAAGCCUGGGAAACUGGGUCUAAUACCGGAUAGGACCACACACUUCAUGGUGAGUGGUGCAAAGCUUUUGCGGUGUGGGAUGAGCCCGCGGCCUAUCAGCUUGUUGGUGGGGUAAUGGCCCACCAAGGCGACGACGGGUAGCCGGCCUGAGAGGGUGACCGGCCACACUGGGACUGAGAUACGGCCCAGACUCCUACGGGAGGCAGCAGUGGGGAAUAUUGCACAAUGGGCGCAAGCCUGAUGCAGCGACGCCGCGUGAGGGAUGACGGCCUUCGGGUUGUAAACCUCUUUCAGUAGGGACGAAGCGAAAGUGACGGUACCUACAGAAGAAGGACCGGCCAACUACGUGCCAGCAGCCGCGGUAAUACGUAGGGUCCGAGCGUUGUCCGGAAUUACUGGGCGUAAAGAGCUCGUAGGUGGUUUGUCGCGUUGUUCGUGAAAACUCACAGCUUAACUGUGGGCGUGCGGGCGAUACGGGCAGACUAGAGUACUGCAGGGGAGACUGGAAUUCCUGGUGUAGCGGUGGAAUGCGCAGAUAUCAGGAGGAACACCGGUGGCGAAGGCGGGUCUCUGGGCAGUAACUGACGCUGAGGAGCGAAAGCGUGGGUAGCGAACAGGAUUAGAUACCCUGGUAGUCCACGCCGUAAACGGUGGGUACUAGGUGUGGGUUUCCUUCCUUGGGAUCCGUGCCGUAGCUAACGCAUUAAGUACCCCGCCUGGGGAGUACGGUCGCAAGACUAAAACUCAAAGGAAUUGACGGGGGCCCGCACAAGCGGCGGAGCAUGUGGAUUAAUUCGAUGCAACGCGAAGAACCUUACCUGGGUUUGACAUGCACAGGACGUACCUAGAGAUAGGUAUUCCCUUGUGGCCUGUGUGCAGGUGGUGCAUGGCUGUCGUCAGCUCGUGUCGUGAGAUGUUGGGUUAAGUCCCGCAACGAGCGCAACCCUUGUCCUAUGUUGCCAGCGGGUAAUGCCGGGGACUCGUAGGAGACUGCCGGGGUCAACUCGGAGGAAGGUGGGGAUGACGUCAAGUCAUCAUGCCCCUUAUGUCCAGGGCUUCACACAUGCUACAAUGGCCAGUACAGAGGGCUGCGAAGCCGUAAGGUGGAGCGAAUCCCUUAAAGCUGGUCUCAGUUCGGAUUGGGGUCUGCAACUCGACCCCAUGAAGUCGGAGUCGCUAGUAAUCGCAGAUCAGCAACGCUGCGGUGAAUACGUUCCCGGGCCUUGUACACACCGCCCGUCACGUCAUGAAAGUCGGUAACACCCGAAGCCAGUGGCCUAACCUUUUGGAGGGAGCUGUCGAAGGUGGGAU
rnacentral:rRNA from 1 species